CGGAAAUUCCAGCAGAUCAAAAUUCAGUUUUACCCAGCAUAGUGUCAACGCUCAAAUAUGAAUAAGUUGAGUCUUUCCGUCAUCUUCAUUACCAUGAUACUGGUCUGCAGUGUGUACCAAACCACUGCUUUGAGUGCUCGAACAGCAGCAGGCAUCCAUGGGUUCAACUCUGAUAUGGAUCUGAGUGAACAAUUGGACAUAAAACCAGAAUUGACAGAAGACGACGUAUAUGAUUCGGAUCACUGUGAUAGUCCGUUUCCUUGUCAAUAUUAUUAAAGAACCAGGU